CCACACAUUUUUGAUCCGUAAAAGUACUGGAAAAUAAUAAAAGAAAAAUAGCAUUAGUUUAUUAUAUUUAGAAGAAGUGUGAAAGUAGUUACCUGAAACCAAACAAAACUCGAAGCUAAACAAAAAUUUGUUGUUCUGUACUGCUCGGAGCGGAGUGUGAGGAAUAACUGAAAAUAUAAGAGAAUAAAGGAAUGAAAGAAUUGUAUUGCUUGGUUAAUGUGAUGGGCUGAAUAUGGAAAAUGUAACCCAGAAAUAAAGUCAUCAAGUCAUCUGUGAAAUGUGUUUGGGCUGCUGUCCAAUCCAUUCUCUAUUUCUCCCUUCCCAUUUAUUUCAUUCGCACAGCACCAUUCCGGCUAGAAACAUCUCCAAAUAUUUUGUGUAGUAAAAUUUUUGUUCGUCUCAAUUUCUCAGUUUUUGUUCGGUUCCAGAAACUCAACUGCUCAAACAUGUGCGGACCUUGCUGUGGACCCUGUGGCUCUUGCUGUGGACCCUGCGGAGGUUGCUGCGGGCCUUGCGGACCCUGCUGCGGACCCUGUGGCGGCUGUGGACCCUGCUGUGGUCCCUGUGGAGCCUGUGGCCCCUGCUGCGGCCCCUGCGGAGGUUGCUGUGGCCCCUGCGGAUGGUGCUAACCAAGGCGAAGGAUCUGCGACUAACAUCUACCGAACGUGAACCACUAACACCAAUUUGAGACUGAGACGGCAAUAAAUAAAAUGGCUUAAGCCCAAUAGCCCAACAAA